AUCACGUUGAAAACACCUGUUCCCGUACGAUCACUGAAGUUAAGCAACGUCGAGCCUGGUGAGAACCUAGAUGGGUGACCGCUUGGGACUACCAGGUGCUG